UACAGAGGGGGCAAGCGUUAUUCGGAAUUAUUGGGCGUAAAGGGCGCGUAGGCGGCCUGGCAAAUGGAAGGUGAAAUCCCUCGGCUUAACCGAGGAACUGCCUUCCAAACUGCUUGGCUUGAGUCCGGGAGAGGUGAGUGGAAUUCCCAGUGUAGCGGUGAAAUGCGUAGAUAUUGGGAGGAACACCAGUGGCGAAGGCGGCUCACUGGACCGGAACUGACGCUGAUGCGCGAAAGCGUGGGGAGCAAACGGG
rnacentral:rRNA from 1 species